GUGGGGAAUAUUGGACAAUGGGCGAAAGCCUGAUCCAGCCAUGCCGCGUGAGUGAUGAAGGCCUUAGGGUUGUAAAGCUCUUUCAGUAGGGAAGAUAAUGACGGUACCUACAGAAGAAGCCCCGGCUAACUUCGUGCCAGCAGCCGCGGUAAUACGAAGGGGGCUAGCGUUGUUCGGAUUUACUGGGCGUAAAGCGCACGUAGGCGGAUUGGUCUGUUAGAGGUGAAAUCCUGGAGCUCAACUCCAGAACUGCCUUUAAUACUGCCAGUCUAGAGUCCAGAAGAGGUGAGUGGAACUCCUAGUGUAGAGGUGGAAUUCGUAGAUAUUAGGAAGAACACCAGUGGCGAAGGCGGCUCACUGGUCUGGUACUGACGCUGAGGUGCGAAAGCGUGGGGAGCAAACAGGAUUAGAAACCCGUGUAGUCC
rnacentral:rRNA from 1 species